UGGGUGAUGGCGUGCCUUUUGUAGAAUGAACCGGCGAGUUACGAUCUCGUGCGAGGUUAAGUCGAAAAGACGGAGCCGUAGCGAAAGCGAGUCUGAAUAGGGCGUAUAGUACGAGGUCGUAGACCCGAAACCAGGUGAUCUACCCAUGUCCAGGGUGAAGGUAGGGUAAUACCUACUGGAGGCCCGAACCCACGCACGUUGAAAAGUGCGGGGAUGAGGUGUGGGUAGGGGUGAAAUGCCAAUCGAACUUGGAGAUAGCUGGUUCUCCCCGAAAUAGCUUUAGGGCUAGCCUCGAGUGAAGAGUCUUGGAGGUAGAGCACUGAUUGGGCUAGGGGCCCUCAUCGGGUUACCGAACUCAGUCAAACUCCGAAUGCCAAUGACUUAUACUCGGGAGUCAGACUACGAGUGAUAAGAUCCGUGGUCAAGAGGGAAACAGCCCAGAUCACCAGCUAAGGUCCCAAAGUAUACGUUAAGUGGAAAAGGAUGUGGAGUUGCUUAGACAACCAGGAUGUUGGCUUAGAAGCAGCCACCAUUUAAAGAGUGCGUAAUAGCUCACUGGUCGAGUGACUCUGCGCCGAAAAUGUACCGGGGCUAAACGUAUCACCGAAGCUGUGGGACGACUUGCGUCGUCGGUAGGGGAGCGUUCUAAGGGCGUCGAAGCUAGACCGGAAGGACUAGUGGAGCGCUUAGAAGUGAGAAUGCCGGUGUGAGUAGCGAAAACAGAGGUGAGAAUCCUCUGCACCGAAAGCCUAAGGUUUCCUGAGGAAGGCUCGUCCGCUCAGGGUUAGUCGGGACCUAAGCCGAGGCCGAAAGGCGUAGGCGAUGGACAACAGGUUGAUAUUCCUGUACCACCUCCUCACCGUUUGAGCAAUGGGGGGACGCAGGAGGAUAGGGUCAGCGCGCGACUGGUUGUGCGCGUCCAAGCAGUUAGGCGCCUCAAGUAGGCAAAUCCGCUUGAGUAGGCUGAGCUGUGAUGGCGAGGGAAAUCCAGUACCGAAGUGCCUGAUUCCACACUGCCAAGAAAAGCCUCUAGCGAGGUGAGAGGUGCCCGUACCGCAAACCGACACAGGUAGGCGAGGAGAGAAUCCUAAGGUGCGCGGGAGAACUCUCGUUAAGGAACUCGGCAAAAUGACCCCGUAACUUCGGGAGAAGGGGUGCUCCCUCGGGUGAAUAGCCCAGGGGAGCCGCAGUGAAAAGGCCCAAGCGACUGUUUAUCAAAACACAGGUCUCUGCGAAGCCGUAAGGCGAAGUAUAGGGGCUGACACCUGCCCGGUGCUGGAAGGUUAAGGGGAGCGCUUAGCGCAAGCGAAGGUGCGAACCGAAGCCCCAGUAAACGGCGGCCGUAACUAUAACGGUCCUAAGGUAGCGAAAUUCCUUGUCGGGUAAGUUCCGACCCGCACGAAAGGUGUAACGACUUGGGCACUGUCUCAACGAGAGACCCGGUGAAAUCAUAGUACCUGUGAAGAUGCAGGUUACCCGCGACAGGACGGAAAGACCCCGUGGAGCUUUACUGCAGCCUGAUAUUGAAUGUUGGUGCGACAUGUACAGCAUAGGUGGGAGACUGAGAAGCCUGGACGCCAGUCUAGGUGGAGUCGCCGUUGGGAUACCACCCUUGUCGUACUGAGAUUCUAACCCGCACCCCUGAUCGGGGUGGGAGACAGUGUCAGGUGGGCAGUUUGACUGGGGCGGUCGCCUCCCAAAGCGUAACGGAGGCGCCCAAAGGUUCCCUCAGAAUGGUUGGAAAUCAUUCGUAGAGUGUAAAGGCAGAAGGGAGCUUGACUGCGAGACCUACAAGUCGAGCAGGGACGAAGUCGGGCUUAGUGAUCCGGUGGUUCCGAAUGGAAGGGCCAUCGCUCAACGGAUAAAAGCUACCCCGGGGAUAACAGGCUUAUCUCCCCCAAGAGUCCACAUCGACGGGGAGGUUUGGCACCUCGAUGUCGGCUCAUCGCAUCCUGGGGCUGUAGUCGGUCCCAAGGGUUGGGCUGUUCGCCCAUUAAAGCGGUACGCGAGCUGGGUUCAGAACGUCGUGAGACAGUUCGGUCCCUAUCCGUCGCGGGCGUAGGAAAUUUGAGAGGAGCUGUCCUUAGUACGAGAGGACCGGGAUGGACGCACCGCUGGUGUACCAGUUGUCCCGCCAGGGGCACAGCUGGGUAGCUAUGUGCGGAAGGGAUAAGCGCUGAAAGCAUCUAAGCGUGAAGCCCCCCUCAAGAUGAGAUUUCCCAUCGCGUCAAGCGAGUAAGAUCCCUUGAAGAUGACAAGGUAGAUAGGUCCGAGGUGGAAGCGUGGCGACACGUGUAGCUGACGGAUACUAAUCGAUCGAGGACUUAACUAAA
rnacentral:rRNA from 1 species